UACGUAGGGGGCAAGCGUUGUCCGGAUUUACUGGGCGUAAAGAGCGUGUAGGCGGCCAAGCAGGUCCGUUGUGAAAACUGGAGGCUUAACCUCCAGACGUCGACGGAAACCGCGUGGCUAGAGUCCGGAAGAGGAGAGUGGAAUUCCUGGUGUAGCGGUGAAAUGCGCAGAUAUCAGGAAGAACACCAGUGGCGAAGGCAGCUCGCUGGGACGGUACUGACGCUGAGACGCGAAAGCGUGGGGAGCGAACAGG
rnacentral:rRNA from 1 species